GACGAACGCUGACGGCGUGCUUAACACAUGCAAGUCGAAGGGAGUGGCGAACGGGUGAGUAACACGUGAGUACCCUGCCCUUUUCUUUGGGAUAAGCCUGGGAAACUGGGUCUAAUACUGGAUGGAUUGGGAUGGGCUCGCGGCUUAUCAGCUGGUUGGUGGGGUGAUGGCUUACCAAGGCUUUGACGGGUAGCCGGCCUGAGAGGGUGGGCGGGAACACUGGGACUGAGAUACGGCCCAGGCUACUACGGGAGGUAGCAGGGGGGGAUAGUGCAGGAUGGACGAAAGUCUGAUGGAGCGACGGCGUGUGGGGGAUGAAGGGCGUGGGGUUGUAAACUCCUUUCGCCCGCGGAAUGGUAGUGGGUAAAGAAGCGCCGGCUAACUACGUGCCAGCAGCCGCGGUAAUUC
rnacentral:rRNA from 1 species